CAGUAGCCACGGUAAUACGAAGGGGGCUAGCGUUGUUCGGAAUUACUGGGCGUAAAGGGCGCGUAGGCGGCCAUUCAAGUUAGAUGUGAAAGCCCUGGGCUCAACCUAGGAAUUGCAUUUGAUACUGUUUGGCUUGAGUUCGGGAGAGGUGAGUGGAAUUCCCAGUGUAGAGGUGAAAUUCGUAGAUAUUGGGAAGAACACCAGUGGCGAAGGCGGCUCACUGGACCGACACUGACGCUGAGGUGCGAAAGCGUGGGGAGCAAACAGGAUUAGAUACCCCGGUAGUCCCUGUCUCUUAUAC
rnacentral:rRNA from 1 species